rnacentral:rRNA from 1 species
UACAGAGGUCUCAAGCGUUGUUCGGAUUUAUUGGGCGUAAAGCGCACGCAGGCGGUCUUUUACGUUCUGAGUGACAGGUGGGGGCUUAACUCCCACAGGUCUUGGAAAACGGAAAGACUUGAGGACGAGAGAGGGAUGCGGAAUUCCAGGUGGAGCGGUGAAAUGCGCAGAUAUCGGGAAGAACACCCGUGGCGAAGGCGGCUCUCUGGGACGGUACUGACGCUGAGACGCGAAAGCGUGGGGAGCGAACAGG